UACGGGGGGGGGCGAGCGUUGUUCGGAAUUAUUGGGCGUAAAGGGCGCGUAGGCGGUGUGGUAAGUCUGGUGUGAAACCUCUAGGCUCAACUUAGAGCUGGCAUCAGAUACUGCCGUGCUAGAGUGUGGGAGAGGAGAGUGGAAUUCCCGGUGUAGCGGUGAAAUGCGUAGAUAUCGGGAGGAACAUCGGUGGCGAAGGCGGCUCUCUGGACCACAACUGACGCUGAGGCGCGAAAGCUAGGGGAGCAAACAGG
rnacentral:rRNA from 1 species